UGCUGAGAUGAGGUUCCUUGCAUCUUUGAUGCAAUUUAUUUCCCAUUCAUCGCUGAUGCAGUCCGUCGCUUUCCUUCUUAACUCCCCUCUCCUUUUUCCUUUUCUUUUUUUGAGUGAGGGUUUUCUCUCUGCUCUUGGUGGGAUCGCGGGAGCGUGAAGGGGCCGCUGGGAAGGUCUCCUUCUUCCUAUCUAGUCUUAAACGACCAGAUCUCGACUGGCGUUAGGAUGGGGUUCUUCCCCUAUUUCUGACAAUAGUCGAUUUCAACUCAGGUUAGGACGAGGUCCUCCUCUUAUCGCUAACAGGGCUAUGGGGGCACAUAUGGGUGCCGUGGGGCCUCUCCCCCCGUCCGGUCUGAGUAUAACCGGACCUUCGACUUUGCUCAUGUUAGGGCGAGGUUCUCCUCCUGUCCCUAAC
rnacentral:lncRNA from 1 species